UGCAUGGUGGCACAGUUGGUAGCAUUGUUGCCUUCCACCAAGAAGGUCUUGGGUUCAAAUCCCAGCCAGGGGUCUUUCUGCAU